UCGAGCUGACAAGCGAAAUUUUUUUCUAGUGGGAUAAAGUUAAAGAAUUUGAGAAAGUCCUUCCACUGUUGUUUCGGUUGCAGACGGAUUCGGUCAGUUUUACUUCCCCCCCAUGGAGCAACAACGAACUUCUACGCUAUGACGAUGAUGGCGAACCACCCGAAGAACCGAGCCUUGGAGGACUGACUGUGACUGAGACGCAUGAUUUCCACAGAGUGUGAGAGCGAGGCAGAGCAUGCAGAGCGUCCAGAGCAAGGAGUCAAACAACGGUAGCCGAGACGGCGUCUUUCGAAAGAAUCGAGUCCCUGUCCGACGUAAGUUCCAUCCCGAAUGUAUCGUCUGACGGCAGAACGCGUAUCGCCAUCGCUCACGCCGACUCGGACAGCCUGGAGGUGGACAAUGUUCCAUCCCAAGAACGGAGUCCUCUGGCUUUGCAGACGAGUCCAGGUCUGCUGCUGCACCCCUACUUCCCACUGAGCCAGCGGCGCGAGUCCUUCCUGUACCGCUCGGACUCCGACUACGACCCGUCUCCCAGGGCCAUGUCCUACAACUCCUCUCUUACCAGCGAAGGGUAAGAGGC